GAUGAACGCUGGCGGCGCGCCUAAUACAUGCAAGUCGAGCGAACAGAUGAGGAGCUUGCUCCUCUGACGUUAGCGGCGGACGGGUGAGUAACACGUGGAUAACCUACCUAUAAGACUGGGAUAACUUCGGGAAACCGGAGCUAAUACCGGAUAAUAUAUUGAACCGCAUGGUUCAAUAGUGAAAGACGGUUUUGCUGUCACUUAUAUAUGGAUCCGCGCCGCAUUAGCUAGUUGGUAAGGUAACGGCUUACCCAGGCAACGAUGCGUAGCCGACCUGAGAGGGUGAUCGGCCACACUGGAACUGAGACACGGUCCAGACUCCUACGGGAGGCAGCAGUAGGGAAUCUUCCGCAAUGGGCGAAAGCCUGACGGAGCAACGCCGCGUGAGUGAUGAAGGUCUUCGGAUCGUAAAACUCUGUUAUUAGGGAAGAACAAAUGUGUAAGUAACUAUGCACGUCUUGACGGUACCUAAUCAGAAAGCCACGGCUAACUACGUG
rnacentral:rRNA from 1 species